CGAGGUGGAGCGAAUCCCAAAAAGACCGGUCUAAGUUCGGAUUGCAGGCUGCAACCCGCCUGCAUGAAGUCGGAAUCGCUAGUAAUCGCGCAUCAGCCACGGCGCGGUGAAUACGUUCCCGGGCCUUGUACACACCGCCCGUCAAGCCAUGGAAGCCGGGGAGUGCCUGAAGUGCGUGAGCGCAAGCAGCGCCCUAAGGUAAAACCGGUGACUGGGGCUAAGUCGUAACAAGGUAAC
rnacentral:rRNA from 1 species